rnacentral:rRNA from 1 species
CAGCUAACUCGCGAGAGUACGCAAAUCUCAUAAACCGUGGCUCAGUUCAGAUCGUAGGCUGCAACUCGCCUACGUGAAGGAGGAAUCGCUAGUAAUCGCAGGUCAGCAAACUGCGGUGAAUACGUUCCCGGGCCUUGUACACACCGCCCGUCACACCAUGGAAGUCGGCCACGCCCGAAGUCGUUACUCCAACCCUCUGGGAGGAGGACGCCGAAGGUGGGGCUGAUGACUGGGGUGAAGUCGUAACAAGGUAGCCGUACCGGAAGGUGCGGCUGGAUCACCUCCUAA